rnacentral:rRNA from 1 species
UACAGAGGGUGCUAGCGUUGUUCGGAAUCAUUGGGCGUAAAGGGCGUGUAGGCGGUUUGUUAAGUCAUGUGUGAAAGCCCCCGGCUCAACCGGGGAACGACGCAUGAAACUGGCAAGCUAGAGUACCGAAGAGGGGGUGGAAUUCCCGGUGUAGCGGUGAAAUGCGUAGAUAUCGGAAGGAACGCCCGUGGCGAAAGCGAGGUCCUGGACGCCAUCUGACGCUGAGACGCGAAAGCCAGGGGAGCGAACGGG